UUUUCUCUUGCUCUUGCAGCCUCUCUCUUGCUCGCUCUUGCGUUUGCACGUUUGCUUGAUUUGCCACCAUGUCUCAGGAGGAGCAGCGCCAUGGCCGCCAGCUGCCGCUAGCUACGAGUGGCGUCAUCACCUUCAACGGCGUGCCGCUCUCGCCGCUGACCGCCGGCGUCGAGAGCGACGGCGACGACGACGUCGUCAUCGUCGACGCGUGUAAUAACGGGAAGAGGAAGGUCGGUGACGGGGAAGAAGAAGGGCGCGGAUCCCAGGGCGGCGACGACGCCGGGGGCGCGGGGGCCUCCUCCUCCUCCUCCUCGUCGGCGGCGGCGCGCGCCAACACCGUCGUCCCAGUCCCACAGAGGGCGGCGCGCGGCGCCACGGCGCCAACGCCGCGUCCGGUCGCGCCGCCGCAGGCCGGGACGUGGCCCCUCCCGGCGCCCGCGGCGAUGCCGCCGCCGCCGCCGCCACCCACGGGCGCCGCGGCGGUCGCGCCGCCGCCGUCGCUCAAGACGUGGUCGUGGGGCGACAACGUCGUGGUCAGCGUGCUCGGCAACAUCGGGAACAUGACCGUGCGCGCGCCGCUGCGCCGCACCGGCGUGCUCGCCAUGGCGUCCGCCGCGCUGAAGAGGUACAACAUCACGGCGGUGACGUCGCUGAGCAUGUUCAUGUUCAUGUUCUACACUAUCGUGAGUACCAUCUCUCCCCUUCGUUUAUUUAGAGAUAGUAGUUUGCAAUGCAAGCGGCUAUAUAUGUAUAGAUCCACAAGAAUGGGAGCACUGGAUCUUGGCUAUGGUGGUGCAUGUGUUUUAUAAAUAGCGGAUAGCGCGGACUUGCCAUAACUAGGUUGUUGCUCACGAAACGGCUUACUAGAAAUGAAAGUGUCGGAAUCUUGGAGCCUACGUAAUGUAGGUUGUCAUUAUGCAUAUUUUAAAUUAUAGCGAUUGUCCUCGUAUCGGAGCUAGUCUUCUUAUUAUCUGAUAACUUAUUGUCGUUAUUCCGUAACGUAUAGAGUAGACUUGUCAUACUUAUGAUGUUGCCCGCAAAAUGGCUUACUAUAAAUGGAUAAGAGCUGAAUCUUGCAGUCUACGUAAUAUAGGUUGUCGUUAUGCAUAUAUUUAAUUAUAGCAAUUCUCUUCGUAUCAGAUCUAGUUUUCUAUUUUUUUAUAACUUAUUAUCGUUAUUCCGUAACGAAUAGAUUGGACUUUCCAUAAUUAGGUUCUUGCUCGAAAAAUGGUUCAUUUGAUAUAUAAGAAUAUGAGGAUCUUGGAGUUCAUGAUGCAUAUAUUUAGCUAUGUGUUUGUACUUGAGUCAUAAAUAGUUUUCUAAUCAUCCAAGAGCCUCCCUUAUAUAGGGGUGAACCCGAAAUAUGAUUAGAUGGAAGACUCAUCUCCUUCCUCCUUCAGCAACACUCUUCCCACCCCCUUUUUCUGUUUUCCUUUCCUUCUCUCAUUUUAUCAAUAGUGAUACAAUGGGAUAGGGGUGACUCUCUUCCCCCUGCGCCCUCAGAGCAUCUCCAGUAAUAGCUCCUAUUUUACAGCCCCUAAAAAUUUAAUGGGGGCUUCCCCCAUAUUCUAAGUACCUAAAAAAUACCUUUAACUCUAGCAGCAGUCCCUUUUAUCGCCCCUUAUUUCAUUUCAUCUUCUAUUUUAACAUAUACUUUAAAGUUCAAAUCUAUAGUUCUAUACUCUACGCUACUCCUAGUAUAAAACCAUAAUAAUCCAACCAUAUUUAAAUUCACAAUUCAAAUUCGAUUCUUUUAAAAAAAAUAAAAUGGAAAUACAAAUCCUAGUAGCAUGUAUUCAUAGCUCGGGUGAAACGAGCUUCUGCUGCUGUGGCGCUUCCAUGCAUUUUCUCACAUGUGUUGAUUUUUCCCGUCUUCUCAUCCACCAAUAGACCAGCUACUUCUCUCACGAAGCAACAACCAAGCAAAGCAACAAAAAAGCUGCAUAGCACAUCGCAUGUAUCACUUUCCCCAUUCUUCCAAGUCCCACAAUCGCAGCUGCUAGUGCUACCCUGCUACUACUUUCUCAAUUUCGCAGCCUGCAACAACACUUGAAUCAUCCAGUGCCUCGACGCCAUCGCAUGACUCGGCCACUGGGCCAUGUUUUUCAUCGAGUUCAGGCAGAGGGUGCAGGCUAGAGGAGACUCCAGGUACAGCAGACGCGUCGGCCGGGAAGGAGCGUCGGGUAGAGGAAUGCACCUGAGGGAUGACACAGUAGGCAGGGAGGAGCCGCACCGGCUAGGGAUGAGCACUGGGCGGGGGAGGUGCCGGCGGACCAAGACCAUUUUGUUGAUGAAGAAAUGACAAAAAUAACAGUUUUAGAUCUUGAUGAGUUAUACAAUUUUGUUGUUGAUGACUUUUUUUAGUUGAAAUCAUUUAGUAUUUGAAAAUGUUGUUUGAAGUUGUCAUAUUUUCAAAUUUAAAUACAAACUGUUCAAAAAAUGUUAUAUAGAAAAAUAACCAAACUAAAAGUUAUAGAUAUUGAUGAGAUAUACGACUUUGUUGUUGAUGAUUUUUUCAGUUGAAAUCAUUUAGUAUUUGAAAAUAUUGUUUGAAGUUGUCAUAUUUUCAAAUUUAAAUUCAAACUGUUCGAAAAAUAUUAUAUAAAAAAAUGACCAAACUAAAAUUGUAAAUCUUGGUAAGUUAUACAACUUUGUUGUUGAUAAUUUUUCCAUUUGAAAUCAUUUACUACCCGUAAAAUUAUUUUAACUCAUAAAAUGAAUUAUUAUACUGCGGUUAAUUAUUUCGCUAUAGUUCAACUUACAAAUAUGAACAUUUCAUAUAAAAAUAGAAAAAUACUCAUCAGUGACGGGCUUUAGUAUGCCCGAUAGAGAUUAAGUCAUCUCAAUCGGGUAUUAGUAUAUAGCCCGUCACUAAUGAGUCAUCUGUGACGGGCCUAGUUGUUAUCUCAAUCGGGCCCCAACUAGAGCACGUCACGGAUGACACUCAUCUUAAUCGGAUCUAAACUAUAGCCCGUCACAGAUGACUCUUAUCUGUGACGGGCUAUAGUUAAUGCCCAUCACAGAUUAUGGUCAUCUGUGAUGGGCCCCAACUUGAGGCCCGUUUGAGAUAUAGAAUGUUAUCUCAAUCGGGCCUAAACUACGGCCUGUCACUGAUAGGUGUCGUCCGUGACGGGUCUAAGUUUUGAGCCCAUCUAACAUGUCUGUGCAAUCAUAUCUCAAUCGAGCACUUUUUCGCCCCGAUUGAGAUGACUUCCUUGUGACGGCCCGCUAUUUCCAGACAUAUUAGAGGCCGUCACAGAUGGAAGGAUCUGAGUGUACAGCAUUGCCAGCCACCGCACCCGCAGCUGCCGAAACGCACCGAACAGCCACCUCCGCCCGCCGGCGCCGCAGCCGAGCCUCGCACGGUCACACGGCGGCUACACUCGAGGGAGUGGCGCUGGCAGCAGUGGCUUCUGCUGCGCUCGGAGGAAACGACUGCUGCUGCUGCGCUCGGAGAGAGCGGCGGCUGCUCUGCUGCUCUCUGCUGCUGCGCUUGAGAGAGCGGCGGCGGCUGCUGCUACCCUCGGAGACCACCAUCGUUGCAGCUUGCUCGUCCAGCAUCCAAGCCUAGCAUCCAUCCCCACCUCUCUUUUGACUGCUGCUACCAGGAAAGACUUGCUUGUAUGUGUUGUCCGUCUUCACAAGGUGUUGGACAAACUUGAUGUUGGCUAUGAAUAUCGGUUGGAUUUGGCUAUAUCUGUGCUUUUGAUUCAUUGUAUGUAAUAUAUGUGCUUUUGCCUCAUCUUCCUGUUCUUCCUCUCGCUAACCGGUACCAGCGGCGCCCCCACCUCCACCACCGCCCUGGCCGGCCGCCACGCCACCCGGAACAGCUUGACUCUCCGUGCGCCGGCGUGGCCGGCCGUGUGCUUCAAAUCCACCAUGUGCUUCUCCUCUCUUGCUCUCUGCUUGGCGAUGAGAAUGUAAGAUGUGUUUAAGCCCGUGAUUAGUGAAGACUAACUAAUCUGAGCCAAGGGCAACCUGGUCUUUAAUGGUCGUUUCUCUCUCCUAAUCCUCCCAAAAUAAUAAAAUAAUCCCACCUACUUUUUACAAGUCCAACAGCUAAUUACCAGAUUUUUACGAUGCCCUACAGCAAAUACGUUCUUACGAUGUCUCCUAGCUAAUUACACGUUUUUCUAAUAUCCUGUAGAAAAUUUUGCCAUUAUUAUAUCGGGAUCAUUUCUUCCAACAGACAAACCAACACGAUCCAUCCACAACCUACUUAUAGUUAAUUAGAUGUACCUAUGAUACCCAAACGUGUGCAUGGACGUACAUGCAAUUAUAAUCUUAUCUAUGCAUAAUUAUUUUUAUGAUACUUAAGUAUAUGAUAAUUAUUUGAAAGUACAAAUAAAUAAAUUAACUAGUGUAUCAUCCAGCUAUAAAUAGUGGGCACGGGUGAUUAAUACUGCCAUGAGCUAUACAUAACCAAAUACUAUCAGGAUCAUUGUUUUUCUACAUGAGAUAGACCCACACGAUCCAUACAUAACCCACUUAUAUGUAUAUCUACCCUAUGAUAUAUAAACGUACACUACUGGAGGAUGCAUCUAUAGUUCUGGUUUGCAACACCCUUUAGUCCCGGGUUAUAAACCGGGACGUUCAAUCUGGAAGUGAUAUCCAUAUUCUUGAAGCUAGCUUAGGUAGAGAUAGAAAGGGUAGGUGUGUGUUUUACACGAAAUUCUAAUCUAUUCAUAGGCCCUCUUUGUUUAGGCUUAUAAGCCAACUUAUAAGUCGAAAAGUCUAAGCCAAAACAAACAAGCAGCUUUUUCAUUUGGCUUUUUUGAAGCCAUAAGCCACUCUAACACUAUUAAGUCAAAAGCUAGGUUGGAGAAGGUUUUUUUGGCUUAUAUGAGAUAGAUGUAUGACUCCACCACUAAACUUAGGACAUUAAAUCCACUGGCUUAUAAAUCAUAUAAGCCAAUAAGCUGACUUAAAAGUCUAGGCCAAUAAGCCUAAGCCUAAAUAAAGAGGGCCAUAAUCAUGAUGCUUUUUUUCCAGAUGCUUUAGUAUGUUUACUUUUUAAAAGUUAAUUGCUUUCCUUAUUUGUAAUUUUUCCCAAAUCCUACAUGUUGGAUCGAUGGUCCCAAUGGAAACGGUAUACGUACACGUCGUCCAUGGCAACAACAACGUGUUCUAAGGCUUGCGUAUACGUACGUGAGAUCACUCCCAGCUACAAAAGUUAUUGUUUUUUUGUGAAAACAUUUCAAAAACGCAAGUGCAUAUAUAUAUGCACAGCUUUUUGUCACAAACCAAGCCAAAAAAAGUCCAACGUGCAGUCACCUGCAAAUGCUAUAGCUAGACGGCCCUGCCACGUGUAUGGCAAGCUGACCAAGUUGGUGACGUGGCAGCACUAGCUAGGAUACAAAUCAUGCAUACGUGCCAGAAGAUGUCGCCAGCCAAGCACGUACACUGCGUGUGUAAAACGUAAAGAGAUUUUGUAUUUUUUCACUUCAAAGUUUCUCUCUUUAAAGAAAAUGCAUUUCAAAGUUCAAACCAUGUUGUUCUCACUUUGCCACAAACUUUAUAGCCAGAAGAUAGAUGUGUAUAUCUUUUUUUUGUCACUAGUGAAAUGAAUUUAAAUCAGUGAGCUGUGCAUAUAUUGGAUGGUUGUGAGAGCUAUCGCACGAACCAGCUAUCAACCAGGCGUUACACGUACUAAUACAGCUUUGCUUGUAGCCGAUGCGUUCUAUCAUCUUUUGCAAUGCGUGUGUCACGAUAUUAUCAUUUUUUUUUAUUUAACUUGUUUACGUGCAUUUCUGUUUGGGGAAAAAGAUUUUUGAAAAGAUGCUUUUUUUUUGUCAAUAAAUUCGAGGCCAAAUGCUCUCUCAUCUCUUCACAAAAACAUUUGAUAUCUUUGCUCUUGCUCUUGCAGCCUCUCUCUUGCUCGCUCUUGCGUUGCACGUUUGCUUGCUUUGCCACCAUGUCUCAGGAGGAGCAGCGCCAUGGCCGCCAGCUGCCGCUAGCUACGAGUGGCGUCAUCACCUUCAACGGCGUGCCGCUCUCGCCGCUGACCGCCGGCGCCGAGAGCGACGGCGACGACGACGACGUCGUCAUCGUCGACGCGUGUAAUAACGGGAAG
rnacentral:lncRNA from 1 species